rnacentral:rRNA from 1 species
UGGGGAAUAUUGCACAAUGGGGCGAAAGCCUGAUGCAGCGACGCCGCGUGGGGAUGAAGGCCUUCGGGUUGUAAACUCCUUUCGCUAGGGACGAAGAGUUAUAUUGACGGUACCUGGAGAAGAAGCACCGGCUAACUACGUGCCAGCAGCCGCGGUAAUACGUAGGGUGCAAGCGUUGUCCGGAAUUACUGGGCGUAAAGAGCUCGUAGGUGGUUUGUCGCGUCGUCUGUGAAAUCCCGGGGCUUAACUCCGGGCGUGCAGGCGAUACGGGCAUAACUUGAGUGCUGUAGGGGAGACUGGAAUUCCUGGUGUAGCGGUGAAAUGCGCAGAUAUCAGGAGGAACACCAAUGGCGAAGGCAGGUCUC